GUGACAGCCCUUUGAAAGGGAAGUCCUCUAUUCAUUCACAGAACAGGUACAGCAUAGACACUGGCAGCGUGAACUUCCUCCCAAUACUCUACCUAUGCAUCUUAACUUGAACCUGAAGAGAGCACUUUUAGCUGUGGAGCAUGGCUCAGUCUCCAUGGCACGUUUGGUCUUUUUCCCAU
rnacentral:sRNA from 1 species